rnacentral:rRNA from 1 species
GACGAACGCUGGCGGCGUGCCUAAUACAUGCAAGUCGAGCGAAUGGAUGGGAGCUUGCUCCCUGAAGUUAGCGGCGGACGGGUGAGUAACACGUGGGCAACCUGCCUGUAAGACUGGGAUAACUUCGGGAAACCGGAGCUAAUACCGGAUACAUUCUUUCUUCGCCUGAAGAAAGAUGGAAAGAUGGUUUCGGCUAUCACUUACAGAUGGGCCCGCGGCGCAUUAGCUAGUUGGUGAGGUAACGGCUCACCAAGGCAACGAUGCGUAGCCGACCUGAGAGGGUGAUCGGCUACACUGGGACUGAGACACGGCCCAGACUCCUACGGGAGGCAGCAGUAGGGAAUCUUCCGCAAUGGACGAAAGUCUGACGGAGCAACGCCGCGUGAGCGAAGAAGGCCUUCGGGUCGUAAAGCUCUGUUGUUAGGGAAGAACAAGUACCAGAGUAACUGCUGGUACCUUGACGGUACCUAACCAGAAAGCCACGGCUAACUACGUGCCAGCAGCCGCAGUAACAC